ACACUGUUUGUUUUUUCAAUAAAAACUCUUAGCAGCCUUGCACUUGCAUGAAGAAGGAGGCAAGGCUCUGCCCCAUGGUGUACAGUGCCUUUCCACAACACUGGGGAAAAAGCUUGAUCUUGAGUCUCACCUGCAUAUUCCUACCAUUUCUCAGAGUCCUCUGGAUAAUGACUAAGGAGCCAAACCAUGCAGAAAACAAAA
rnacentral:snoRNA from 1 species